CAGCAGCCGCGGGAAUACAGAGGGUGCGAGCGUUAAUCGGAUUUACUGGGCGUAAAGCGUGCGUAGGCGGCUUUUUAAGUCGGAUGUGAAAUCCCUGAGCUUAACUUAGGAAUUGCAGUCGAUACUGGGAAGCUAGAGUAUGGGAGAGGAUGGUAGAAUUCCAGGUGUAGCGGUGAAAUGCGUAGAGAUCUGGAGGAAUACCGAUGGCGAAGGCAGCCAUCUGGCCUAAUACUGACGCUGAGGUACGAAAGCAUGGGGAGCAAACAGGAUUAGAUACCCCAGUAGUCCCUGUCUCUUAUAC
rnacentral:rRNA from 1 species